UUCCGGUUGAUCCUGCCGGACCUUACUGCUAUCGGGGUGGGACUAAGGCAUGCUAGUCGAGCGUCUCUAGCUAUGUUGAGACGCGGCGUACGUCUCCGUAACACGUGGCUAACCUACCCUCAGGACGGGUACAAUCCCGGGAAACUGGGCCUAAUACCCGAUAGGCGAGGAGAUCUGGAGUGAUUCCUCACCCAAAGGGCUUUGGAAGCAUGCUUUUCAAAGUUGCCUGGGGAUGGGGCCGCGUCCGAUCAGGUUGUUGGUGAGGUAACGGCUCACCAAGCCUAUAACCGGUACGGGCCGUGAGAGCGGUAGCCCGGAGAAGGGAACUGAGAUAAUGUCCCUAGCCCUACGGGGCGCAGCAGCCGCGAAAACUCCGCAAUGCACGAAAGUGUGACGGGGCUACCCCGAGUGCCGUCCGCUGAGGAUGGCUUUUCCUCGGUGUAACUAGCCGGGGGAAUAAGGAGAGGGCAAGACUGGUGUCAGCCGCCGCGGUAAUACCAGCUCUCCGAGUGGUAAGGAUGAUUAUUGGGCUUAAAGCGUCCGUAGCCGGCUUAGCAAGUCCCCUGUUAAAUUCAGCGACCUAAUCGUUGAGCCGCGGGAGAUACUACUAGGCUAGGAGGCGGGAGAGGUCGACGGUAUUUCCGGGGUAGGGGUGAAAUCCUAUAAUCCCGGGAGGACCACCAGUGGCGAAGGCUGUCGACUAGAACGCGCUCGACGGUGAGGGACGAAAGCUGGGGGAGCGAACCGGAUUAGAUACCCGGGUAGUCCCAGCCGUAAACGAUGCGGGCUAGGUGUUGGGGUGGCUACGUGCCACUUCAGUGCCGCAGGGAAGCCAUUAAGCCCGCCGCCUGGGGAGUACGGCCGCAAGGCUGAAACUUAAAGGAAUUGGCGGGGGAGCACCACAAGGCGUGAAGCUUGCGGUUCAAUUGGAGUCAACGCCGGG
rnacentral:rRNA from 1 species